rnacentral:rRNA from 1 species
CGGGGGUGCAAGCGUUAUUCGGAAUUAUUGGGCGUAAAGGGCGCGUAGGCGGUCUCUUAAGUCAGAUGUGAAAGCCCGGGGCUUAACCCCGGAAGUGCAUUUGAAACUAAGGGACUUGAGUAUGGGAGAGGGAAGUGGAAUUCCUGGUGUAGAGGUGAAAUUCGUAGAUAUCAGGAGGAACACCGGUGGCGAAGGCGACUUCCUGGACCAAUACUGACGCUGAGGCGCGAAGGCGUGGGGAGCAAACAGGAUUAGAUACCCGAGUAGUCC